UACUGCAGUGAAGGCACUUGUAG
rnacentral:ncRNA from 3 species